GCUGUAAAUCGCGAAUCAGAAUGUCGCGGUGAAUACGUUCCCGGGUCGUUGUACACACCGCCCGUCACACCAUGGGAGCCGGCAACGCCCGAAGUCAGUGGCCUAACCGAGAGGGAGGAGCUGCCGAAGGCGGGGCUGGUAACUGGGGUGAAGUCGUAACAAGGUAUC
rnacentral:rRNA from 1 species